AGGGGUAUAGCCAAGUGGUAAGGCAACGGGUUUUGAUCCCGUCAUGCGCUGGUUCAAAUCCAGCUACCCCUGCCA
rnacentral:tRNA from 1 species